rnacentral:rRNA from 1 species
GGGCGUAAAGGCGCGUAGGCGGCUUGGGCCUCUUGGGUGAGUCUUCUGGCUCCCCCGCUGCCUGCACCCGAAACUGUCCGGCUUGAGUAUGGGAGAGGUGAGUGGAAUUUCCGGUGUAACGGUGAAAUGCUUAUUUGUCGGAAGGAACACGUGUGGCGAAAGCGGCUCACUGGACCAUAACUGACGCUGAGGCACGAAAGCUAGGGGAGCAAACAGGAUUAGAUACCCUGGACCUCCUAACCCAAAACGAUGAUUGUUUGAUGUGGUCGGUACCCAAUCCUGCCAUGUCAAAUCUUUGGCUAUAAACAAUCCUCCUGGCGAGUACGGCCUCUGGGCUGAAACUCUUCGGAAUUGACGGGCGCCCGCUCAGGCAGCGGAGACUGUGGUUUACUUCCACGCACCGCGAAAAACCUUACCUGGACUCGAAAUGUAGACGGAAUCCGGCAUAACCCGUUCGUCUAGCAAUAAACCGCUAUAUAGCUUGCUGCAUGGCUGUCGUCAUGCUCGUGUCGUGAGAUGUUGGGUUAAGUCCCGCAACGAGCGCAACCCUUAUCUUCACCUGCUACUAUUUUUGAGACCACUCUGACAAACUCACCCUCGGAUAACGGGGAAGAGGUGGGGAAGACGUCGCUCCCUCAUGGUUUUUAGGGCCGUGGCUACACACGUGCUUCAAUGGGGUGGGGUGACUUGCUGCAAACCCGUGAGGGAGAGAUAAUCGGAUAACCCGCGCCUAAGUCCGGAUUGCAGUCUGCAACUCGCCUCCAUCAAACUGGGAUCUCUAGUACACGUCGAUCGACAUGCGACGCAGAAUCGU